rnacentral:lncRNA from 13 species
GGCUGUUGGCUGGGUUAGAAAUGACACUUGGAUGGAGUCUGGCGUGGGACAGGUGUUCACGGCAGGGUUGCUGUAAUUAGAGGAUGAUGUGUUGCCGCAGGUGGAGAAGCCGAUAAACCACACGAAGCCACUCCAUGUAUCCAUAGCCUCUAAGGUACGGAAUUUUUUGAUCCUGUCACCAGCUUGUAAGAAGGGGGUGGGUGCAGUCAAAAAGGAUUAACUUUUCAAUCUAUUACAGGGAGCCCAGCAAUCUAUUACUUGGAG